GUUAGAACAGAAGGAGGAGAAUAUAUAACAAAUAUAUAUCGUAAGCCUACUUAUGCUCCGAUUAUUAUUCCAGCGUGGUCAGCAGAUCCCAUGGUGUAUAAGUUGGCGGCCUUUCGAGCUAUGAUUCAGAGAGCAUUCACACACAUUACAACUUGGGCGGAUAAAGAAUCUGAACAUCAAUAUAUCCUGCAACUAGGACGUAAAUAUGGCUACUCUUCAAAAACGAUCGAAGGCAUGUGGACAAAACAAAUAACGAUAUGGGAAGGGGUUAGCCAUGCAGCAGACUGUGUGUCGAACCCUAUACUACAAAGGCCCAGAUAUGUGCGGCUUACCUACUAAGAUGUAUGUGAUAUUGUGUCUAAGGCCUUAAGAGGUAACACUGAAAUAAAAAUUGUUAAGAAGAGAGGUUCCACGGUGUUUGAGCAGUUACGGAACGACAAAAGUCAAGUACCUGAGGAUUGAAAGGCCGGAGUGUAUAUUAUUCUGUUUUAUAAUAAUGAUGAAGAGUGCUCCCAACAAUACAUAGGCAGCACAAGAAGAAAUUUAAAGACAAGGCUGGCAGAACGUGGAGCGGAC
rnacentral:lncRNA from 1 species